rnacentral:rRNA from 1 species
UACCAGCACCCCGAGCGGUCGGGACGAUUAUUGGGCCUAAAGCAUCCGUAGCCGGUUCUACAAGUCUUCCGUUAAAUCUACCUGCUUAACAGAUGGGCUGCGGAGGAUACUAUAGAGCUAGGAGGCGGGAGAGGCAAGCGGUACUUAGUGGGUAGGGGUAAAAUCCGUUGAUCCAUUGAAGACCACCAGUGGCGAAGGCGGCUUGCCAGAACGCACUCGACGGUGAGGGAUGAAAGCUGGGGGAGCAAACCGG